rnacentral:rRNA from 1 species
CGACGAAUCUUCCGCAAUGGGCGAAAGCCUGACGGAGCGAUGCCGCGUGUGGGAUGAAGCGCCUUUGGUGUGUAAACCACUGUCAGGAGAUAGAAACACUGAUCAUCUCCAGAGGAAGGGGCGACUAACUCUGUGCCAGCAGUCGCGGUAAUACAGGGGCCCCGAGCGUUAAUCGGAAUCACUGGGCUUAAAGGGUGCGUAGGCGGACUCGUAAGUGUCGUGUGAAAGCCCACUGCUUAACGGUGGAACCGCACGGCAAACUGCAAGUCUCGAGGAAGGUAGAGGCCGGUAGAACGAUUGGUGGAGCGGUGGAAUGCGUAGAUAUCAAUCGGAAUGCCAAAGGUGAAGACAGCCGGCUGGGCCUUUCCUGACGCUGAGGCACGAAAGCGUGGGGAGCAAACAGGAUUAGAUACCCA